ACAGCUUGGACAAAAGUCUAUAGCCAUUGCAUUCUUAGCUCCCCUUGCACUGAGACGGGCUGAGGCUGUGGGGAGACUCGUCGGGCUUGUGCUCUGCUCUCUCAGAAAGUGCUGUGGUAUCACACGCAGGUGCCGUGUCUUGGCUCCACCUGUAUGAGCCGUGGGUCUAGGAAAACUCCUGGAUAUAACUACUGGGAUAGGGCCUGCAAAGUCAGCUGU
ensembl:misc_RNA